GUCCUGCCUCCCGCCUUCUGGCCACGCUGUGUCUUUCCCAUGCGGCCCUUCGUGGCACACCUCCUGUCUCUGCGACCCAGAGGGCGAACGCAAACAGGGGCGUGGAGCAGAAGGAGAAGCAGAUUCCCCACUGAGCAGGAAGCCCGACACAAGACUCGAUCCCAGGACCCUGAGAUCAUGACCCGAGCCGAAGCAGGAAAAAUCAGAGGAAUGUCUGCGGCCGCCUUUCUAAGCUGUUGGACCGCUUCGAAUUCAAACUCUGAUCUUAGAUGUCCAUGUGUCCCCUGGUCACAGCUGAUGGAGCCAAGGAGGCGACAGCAGGAGGUGGACACCUGCCAUCCGUGCCCAUGAGGUGGACAAACUGGUGCCCGGAAGAGUCAAGUGUUUGGAACUACCUGCUUCGGGGAUCCCCUCUGGGAGCAGGGCCAGAACUGAACCAUCUGGACUGGCCCGGCAAGCCUGGGGUGGCAAGGCCCACAGCACAGGCCACACGGGGGCCGCUGUAAACCUGUCCUGCCUGACCAGGGCAGGGGUGUCCUCAUUCCUAUAAAGUCUUUGCUUCUAGGGGUUCCACCUGGGCCCUCUGGGACUGAUCUUGUACGUGUUAUGCCCUGACACCACCUCAGCCUGGGACGUCCUUCCAGUCAGCUUCAACCUGGUGAUCAGAAUAUGCUGGGUGCCUGGGUGGCUCAGUGGUUCAGCACCUGACUUCGGCCCAGGGCGUGAUCCUGGGGUCCCAGGAUCGAGUCCCACAUCGGGCUCCCUGCAUGGAGCCUGCUUCUCCCUCUCCCUGUGUGUCUACCUCUCUCUGUAUGUCUCUCAUGAAUGAAUGAAUGAAUGAAUGAAUGAAUGAAUAUAAAUCUUAAAAAAAAGUCUAGGCUGGCCCUAAGCUGAUGUCUCAGGCCAGACACAAAGGUUCCUCCAGAAGCUUGGCUUUCUAGGACAGAUCCUUGUGGUUAAUGGGGUUUGCUCUAACUGGCUGGGUCCAGGACACUGGGGUCAUAACCGAGACCAGUGCUGCAGUUUGGUCUUACCAGGGUCCUCCUGCUAAUAAUUUG
rnacentral:lncRNA from 1 species